GCGAAAGUUGUAAUUGCGAUCGUGGUUUCAUCAUUUAUCCGAUCGGCACCAAAUUUUGUAGGAAGUUUCGUGACGUCUAGGUCGUGCUAUCCACCGAAGGGAUUCAGAAGUUAACGGUUAUUUUCUGUUUUAGGGUUUCGUUUCUGUGGCUGUAGUUUUUCUGCUGUUUCUGUCCAUUUUGGUUCAUAGAGAUUUUUGAUUGUGUGGAUUGUUGUUGGGAGUUGUUUGAUUGUUGCAGUCGCG
rnacentral:lncRNA from 1 species